CACGUAGGGCGCGAGCGUUGUCCGGAAUUAUUGGGCGUAAAGAGCUCGUAGGCGGCCUGUUGCGUCCGCUGUGAAAGCCCGGGGCUUAACCCCGGGUCGGCAGUGGAUACGGGCGGGCUAGAGGUAGGUAGGGGAGAAUGGAAUUCCCGGUGUAGCGGUGAAAUGCGCAGAUAUCGGGAGGAACACCGGUGGCGAAGGCGGUUCUCUGGGCCUUACCUGACGCUGAGGAGCGAAAGCGUGGGGAGCGAACAGG
rnacentral:rRNA from 1 species